rnacentral:lncRNA from 1 species
GUUGUCCGUUUAUUUAGCAAAUAAAUAAACAACUUGUACUGCCAUGUAGCGAUUUCGAUAGACGACGCCUUCAAGGGAGGAGGAGUCUACAACAUAUUGAAUUUAUCGAUCGAUUGUUAGGCCGAUUUCGAUCAGCAUUGUAUAGUUAAUGAAUGACAACUUGACGAGAUCUUGACACGCACGUUGGAAGUGUACGCGUGUUUGCACCUCGAUGAGCGUUGCACAAUAACAAAGCUCCGUUGGUGAGCGUAUUGAUUAAUAAAGCUAGGUGAAGUCCUUGAGUGCCUCAAGGACUUUGUUUUGUUUUAGCAGUAUUUUUUCCUUCAACAAUUAAUCUUGCAUCUCCAACCGUGGAAUGAGUUACAUGUGACUCGAGACAAAAAAACAGUGCAAUUGCAACAAUAUAAUUAGUCAGCGGUAUGGUCACUAUCAGCAGCUUUACACACAGUGUGCAUCGUGAAUACAUCAAUCCCAGAGAAAACAUUCCAAUGGAAAAUAUUGAGAAUUUCUGCCCUUCUAUCCUGAACUAAACAAUGCUGGGAGAUUGGUUAUCUCUUCACAGAGAUGAGUCACCCGCUCCUUGGAC